CGAUCCGGAACAUGUGAUGAUCCUCCACACAUAUAUGUAGAUCUCGCUAGUGUCUAGUUUCUUUCUCGCUAGUCUUAAAAUGACCGAAGUUAAGACGAUCCAAAUCGAGCUCAGCACAAGACACAAUGAUGGUAUAUAUAGAGGGCGACAGACGAUCGAAAAUAUUAAUUUUUGUUUUUAUACUUCGAGAAUGCACAUUUUUCUCGACUUGACCUAAAUUUCAUAAUAAUGAUUCAUCGGUUAUAAUUCGUCCUGAUUCUUCGUGUCGGCCGUGUAACGUGUCCGUAAUAUCGUUUUUUCGAGCAAACGUUCGUGGAACGAACAGAUUCGAGUAUUGACGUGGGAUGAGACAUCGAACGAAUGUACACCUUGUCGCAAAUGUUUGCAAUCGUAUCACAUAUGACGAAACACUUACAUGUGUGUAACAUGGAAGACAAAUUUGAAAA